AGCAGAGGGAAAAGGAGCAAUCCGCUUUGAGAUGGCCUCGCGUCCGAUUAGCUAGUUGGUGAGGUAACGGCCCACCAAGGCGACGAUCGGUAGCCGGACUGAGAGGUUGAACGGCCACAUUGGGACUGAGACACGGCCCAGACUCCUACGGGAGGCAGCAGUGGGGAAUAUUGCACAAUGGGGGAAACCCUGAUGCAGCGACGCCGCGUGGAGGAAGAAGGUCUUCGGAUUGUAAACUCCUGUUGUUGAGGAAGAUAAUGACGGUACUCAACAAGGAAGUGACGGCUAACUACGUGCCAGUAGCCGCGGUAAAACGUAGGUCACAAGCGUUGUCCGGAAUUACUGGGUGUAAAGGGAGCGCAGGCGGGAGAACAAGUUGGAAGUGAAAUCCAUGGGCUCAACCCAUGAACUGCUUUCAAAACUGUUUUUCUUGAGUAGUGCAGAGGUAGGCGGAAUUCCCGGUGUAGCGGUGGAAUGCGUAGAUAUCGGGAGGAACACCAGUGGCGAAGGCGGCCUACUGGGCACCAACUGACGCUGAGGCUCGAAAGUGUGGGUAGCAAACAGGAUUAGAUACCCUGGUAGUCCACACCGUAAACGAUGAUUACUAGGUGUUGGAGGAUUGACCCCUUCAGUGCCGCAGUUAACACAAUAAGUAAUCCACCUGGGGAGUACGACCGCAAGGUUGAAACUCAAAGGAAUUGACGGGGGCCCGCACAAGCAGUGGAGUAUGUGGUUUAAUUCGACGCAACGCGAAGAACCUUACCAAGUCUUGACAUCCCUUGACGAUGCUGGAAACAGUAUUUCUCUUCGGAGCAAGGAGACAGGUGGUGCAUGGUUGUCGUCAGCUCGUGUCGUGAGAUGUUGGGUUAAGUCCCGCAACGAGCGCAACCCUUAUGGUCAGUUACUACGCAAGAGGACUCUGGCCAGACUGCCGUUGACAAAACGGAGGAAGGUGGGGAUGACGUCAAAUCAUCAUGCCCUUUAUGACUUGGGCUACACACGUACUACAAUGGCGUUAAACAAAGAGAAGCAAGACCGCGAGGUGGAGCAAAACUCAGAAACAACGUCCCAGUUCGGACUGCAGGCUGCAACUCGCCUGCACGAAGUCGGAAUUGCUAGUAAUCGUGGAUCAGCAUGCCACGGUGAAUACGUUCCCGGGCCUUGUACACACCGCCCGUCACACCAUGAGAGCCGGGGGGACCCGAAGUCGGUAGUCUAACCGUAAGGAGGACGCCGCCGAAGGUAAAACUGGUGAUUGGGGUGAAGUCGGAACAAGGUAGCCGUAGGAGAACCUGCGGCUG
rnacentral:rRNA from 1 species